rnacentral:rRNA from 1 species
AGAGUUUGAUCCUGGCUCAGAGCGAACGCUGGCGGCAGGCCUAACACAUGCAAGUCGAGCGGCCGUAGCAAUACGGCAGCGGCAGACGGGAGAGUAACACGUGGGAACGCGCCCUUCGGUUCGGAAUAACUCAGGGAAACUUGGGCUAAUACCGGAUACGCCCUUACGGGGAAAGAUUUAUUGCCGAAGGAACGGCCCGCGUCCGAUUAGCUAGUUGGUGAGGUAAUGGCUCACCAAGGCGACGAUCGGUAGCUGGUCUGAGAGGAUGACCAGCCUCACUGGGACUGAGACACGGCCCAGACUCCUACGGGAGGCAGCAGUGGGGAAUAUUGGACAAUGGGCGCAAGCCUGAUCCAGCCAUGCCGCGUGGAUGAUGAAGGCCUUAGGGUUGUAAAGUCCUUUCAGCGGGGAAGAUAAUGACGGUACCCGCAGAAGAAGCCCCGGCUAACUUCGUGCCAGCCGCCGCGGUAAUAC